GAAAUGCGAUAAGUAGUGUGAAUUGCAGAAUUCAGUGAAUCAUCGAAUCUUUGAACGCACAUUGCGCCCCUUGGUAUUCCAUGGGGCAUGCCUGUUCGAGCGUCAUUUGUACCCUCAAGCUCUGCUUGGUGUUGGGUGUUUGUCCCCGUCUCCGCGCGUGGACUCGCCCCAAAGUGAUUGGCAGCCGGCGUACUGGUCCCGGAGCGCAGCACAUGUCGCGCAAACGAGUGCCUUGGUACGGCGGCGUCAAUAAGCCCCUCUCUCACGCUCUUGACCUCGGAUCAGGUAGGGAUACCCGCUGAACUUAAGC
rnacentral:misc_RNA from 1 species